CAGUCGCCGCGGGAAUACAGAGGGUGCGAGCGUUAAUCGGAUUUACUGGGCGUAAAGCGUGUGUAGGUUGUUGUUCAAGUCAGUUGUGAAAUCCCUGGGCUCAACCUGGGAACUGCUUCUGAGACUGAACGACUAGAGUACGGUAGAGGGUGGUGGAAUUUCCGGUGUAGCGGUGAAAUGCGUAGAUAUCGGAAGGAACAUCAAUGGCGAAGGCAGCCACCUGGGCCUGUACUGACACUGAGACACGAAAGCGUGGGGAUCAAACAGGAUUAGAUACCCCCGUAGUCCCUGUCUCUUAUAC
rnacentral:rRNA from 1 species